AAUGCAGAUGCUAGUUGCAGUGUGUUGAGAAGGUGGAGGGAAUAUUUUCAGAAGCUGAUGAAUGAUGAAAAUGAGAAAGAGAAAAGGCUGAAUGAUGUCAAGAGAGUAAAUCAGGAAGUGCAAGAGAUUAGUAAGGAUGAAGUGAGGGCAACUAUGAAGAAGAUGAAGAGUGGAAAGUCAGUUGGUCCAGAUGACAUUCCAGUGGAGGC